rnacentral:rRNA from 1 species
GAUGAACGCUGGCGGUGUGCUUAACACAUGCAAGUCGAACGAAGCAUUAUAUUAGAAAUUUUCGGAUGGAAGAUAUAAUGACUGAGUGGCGGACGGGUGAGUAACGCGUGGAUAACCUGCCUCAUACAGGGGGAUAACACUCAGAAAUGGGUGCUAAUACCGCAUAAGCGCACAGGACCGCAUGGUCCGGUGUGAAAAACUCCGGUGGUAUGAGAUGGAUCCGCGUCUGAUUAGCUAGUUGGUAAGGUAAUGGCUUACCAAGGCGACGAUCAGUAGCCGGCCUGAGAGGGUGACCGGCCACAUUGGGACUGAGACACGGCCCAAACUCCUACGGGAGGCAGCAGUGGGGAAUAUUGCACAAUGGGGGAAACCCUGAUGCAGCGACGCCGCGUG